rnacentral:lncRNA from 1 species
GGAGCUCAUGCAAAGCUGUCAUGCUUAGGAGAGACUUUCUGGACAUAGUGAGAAUUGAGUUCAGCAUUUAACCAUGAGUGAGAGUUUAGGUGUCUCCUUAGUUGCAUGGUAUAAAUAUGUGGCUGGAUUGUCAUGGUUGAGGGAAGAACACAGCAAUGACACUGGUCAAAGACAAUAAGUACAAAGUGUAAGCUAGGGCCUAAGGUGGACAGAUUGAAUCUAUCUGGAUGUUUAGUUUCCUUCCACAAUACCACUUCUCUAAAAGCCAGUCCUCUUCCUUCCAGGAAGUGGAAAGAAAGCAAAUGAAUUGUGUGGCCAUCUCAUGUAACAACAUCUGACAGAUGAUUCCAGAUUCCUGAGAACCUCUGAGUUCCUGGCCCCCAAGACAGGGCUGAGGGGACUGCAGUGUCUGGAAAAGGUAGCAGCCCAGACUCUAGCAAGAACUAUAUUCUGAUUCCAAGGACAUGAGCUGGAAUGAUGACACAUCAAAUAUGGCUGCCUUCGUGAUCAUCUUUUAUAUGCAGAGUCACAGAAUGUCCAAAUACCAAGAAAGCAUCAAGUUCUACUUCCCAGUCUCUGAAAGGAUGGAAGAAAUUUGCUCAGUGGCUGAGUCAGACAACAGAAGACUGGAGUAAGCAAUGUGGACCUUUGAAUGGAGGGCAAUAAAUUCUUAGGCUGCUCAGUGACCCA